AGCGAACGCUGGCGGCAGGCUUAACACAUGCAAGUCGAGCGGGCGUAGCAAUACGUCAGCGGCAGACGGGUGAGUAACACGUGGGAACGUACCUUUUGGUUCGGAACAACUGAGGGAAACUUCAGCUAAUACCGGAUAAGCCCUAACGGGGAAAGAUUUAUCGCCGAAAGAUCGGCCCGCGUCUGAUUAGCUAGUUGGUGGGGUAAUGGCUCACCAAGGCGACGAUCAGUAGCUGGUCUGAGAGGAUGAUCAGCCACACUGGGACUGAGACACGGCCCAG
rnacentral:rRNA from 1 species